UGGGGAAUAUUGGACAAUGGGCGCAAGCCUGAUCCAGCAAUGCCGCGUGUGUGAAGAAGGCCUGCGGGUUGUAAAGCACUUUCAGUGGGGAAGAAAAGCCUGAGGUUAAUACCCUCGAGUCUUGACGUUACCCAAAGAAGAAGCACCGGCUAACUCCGUGCCAGCAGCCGCGGUAAUACGGAGGGUGCGAGCGUUAAUCGGAAUUACUGGGCGUAAAGCGCGCGUAGGCGGCAGUGUAAGUCGGAUGUGAAAGCCCCGGGCUCAACCUGGGAAUUGCACUCGAUACUGCACUACUAGAGUAUGGGAGAGGGAAGUGGAAUUUCCGGUGUAGCGGUGAAAUGCGUAGAUAUCGGAAAGAACACCAGUGGCGAAGGCGACUUCCUGGCCCAAUACUGACGCUGAGGUGCGAAAGCGUGGGGAGCAAACAGGAUUAGAUACCCCCGUAGUCC
rnacentral:rRNA from 1 species